GUACUACUGAAGAGUCCCAAACUAGGACUAAACAGCUGGCCGUCCAGUAC
rnacentral:hammerhead_ribozyme from 1 species